GCGAACAGGAUUAGAUACCCUGGUAGUCCACGCUGUAAACGAUGUCGAUUUGGAGGUUGUGCCCUUGAGGCGUGGCUUCCGGAGCUAACGCGUUAAAUCGACCGCCUGGGGAGUACGGCCGCAAGGUUAAAACUCAAAUGAAUUGACGGGGGCCCGCACAAGCGGUGGAGCAUGUGGUUUAAUUCGAUGCAACGCGAAGAACCUUACCUACUCUUGACAUCCAGAGAACUUAGCAGAGAUGCUUUGGUGCCUUCGGGAACUCUGAGACAGGUGCUGCAUGGCUGUCGUCAGCUCGUGUUGUGAAAUGUUGGGUUAAGUCCCGCAACGAGCGCAACCCUUAUCCUUUGUUGCCAGCGGUUCGGCCGGGAACUCAAAGGAGACUGCCAGUGAUAAACUGGAGGAAGGUGGGGAUGACGUCAAGUCAUCAUGGCCCUUACGAGUAGGGCUACACACGUGCUACAAUGGCAUAUACAAAGAGAAGCGACCUCGCGAGAGCAAGCGGACCUCAUAAAGUAUGUCGUAGUCCGGAUUGGAGUCUGCAACUCGACUCCAUGAAGUCGGAAUCGCUAGUAAUCGUAGAUCAGAAUGCUACGGUGAAUACGUUCCCGGGCCUUGUACACACCGCCCGUCACACCAUGGGAGUGGGUUGCAAAAGAAGUAGGUAGCUUAACCUUCGGGAGGGCGCUUACCACUUUGUGAUUCAUGACUGGGG
rnacentral:rRNA from 1 species